rnacentral:rRNA from 1 species
AUUGAACGCUGGCGGCAUGCUUUACACAUGCAAGUCGAACGGUAACAGGCCUUCUGGUGCUGACGAGUGGCGAACGGGUGAGUAAUGCAUCGGAACGUACCCAGAGUUGGGGGAUAACGCAGCGAAAGCUGUGCUAAUACUGCAUGUGAUCUGAGGAUGAAAGCGGGGGACCGCGCAGCAAUGUUUGGCCUCGCGCCUUUGGAGCGGCCGAUGUCGGAUUAGCUAGUUGGUGGGGUAAAGGCCUACCAAGGCGACGAUCCGUAGCUGGUCUGAGAGGACGACCAGCCACACUGGGACUGAGACACGGCCCAGACUCCUACGGGAGGCAGCAGUGGGGAAUUUUGGACAAUGGGCGCAAGCCUGAUCCAGCAAUGCCGCGUGCGGGAAGAAGGCCUUCGGGUUGUAAACCGCUUUUGGCAGGAACGAAACGGUGUCCGCUAAUACCGGGCGCUAAUGACGGUACCUGCAGAAUAAGCACCGGCUAACUACGUG